rnacentral:tRNA from 1 species
GUGCGGUGGCCUAACAGUUAAAGUACUAAGCUUACAACUAACAGGCCCCAGGUUCGAACCCUGCAUUUUGUAC